rnacentral:snoRNA from 1 species
AUUCCAUGAUGAGGGCACCUCUAUAAUAAAUCUUUGUACCUUUCCCAUGCCUCAUACAAGAACUCAUCAUCUAUUUGUUGGAAAGAAGUGAUAUCGUUCCUCAACUU